AGGACUGGAGCAUAGAGCGUAAACAACUAAUUACCCAGAGAGAAGAACUUGUGAGCCCUGGUGUGACGGUGCAUCUGGUACCUCCUGCCAGAGCAACAACAAAUACAGAGUAACUCCCAGAACUGUUCCUGGACACCACAUGGUCAUAGUUGUAGGUGACCUUCUCCUCUGAACCCCGCUGGGAUGAAACCUCCUCCCCGUCCUUGCAGAAGAUGAUGCGGGUGGCCAGGAGCUGGGACAGCACGGAGCACUGGAGCCGCAUGGAGUCCCCUGGCUGGGCAGACGUCUGGCUCAGGUCCUGCUUCCCUUCUCCUGGCCCAAACCUCAGGGCAGCCUGGGCAGAAUUAGACCCAUCUCUCCAGCCCUAUGGAUGGAGCCAGAUGCUGCAGGACUAGAGAGCGACAGGCUGCUGCUCAGAA